rnacentral:rRNA from 1 species
GAUGAACGCUGGCGGCGUGCCUAAUACAUGCAAGUCGAGCGAACAGACGAGGAGCUUGCUCCUCUGACGUUAGCGGCGGACGGGUGAGUAACACGUGGAUAACCUACCUAUAAGACUGGGAUAACUUCGGGAAACCGGAGCUAAUACCGGAUAAUAUAUUGAACCGCAUGGUUCAAUAGUGAAAGACGGUUUUGCUGUCACUUAUAGAUGGAUCCGCGCCGCAUUAGCUAGUUGGUAAGGUAACGGCUUACCAAGGCAACGAUGCGUAGCCGACCUGAGAGGGGGAUCCGCCACACUGGAACGAAUACACGGUCCAGACUCCUGCGGGAGGCAGCAGUAGGGAAUCUUACGCAAUGGGCGAAAGCUUGACGGAGCAACGCCGCGUGAGUGAUGAAGGUCUUCGGAUCGUAAAACUCUGUUAUUAGGGAAGAACAAAUGUGUAAGUAACUAUGCACGUCUUGACGGUACCUAAUCAGAAAGCCACGGCUAACUACGUG